UACGGAGGGUGCAAGCGUUAAUCGGAAUUACUGGGCGUAAAGCGCCCGCAGGUGGUUAAUCAAGUCAGACGUCAAAGCCCCGAGCUUAACUUGGGCAAUGCAUCUGAAACUGGUUGGCUAGAGUCUUGUAGAGGGGGGUAGAAUUCCAGGUGUAGCGGUGAAAUGCGUAGAAAUGUGGAGGAAUACCGGUGGCGAAGGCGGCCACCUGGACAAAGACUGACGCUCAGGGGCGAAAGCGUGGGGAGCAAAAAGG
rnacentral:rRNA from 1 species